rnacentral:tRNA from 1 species
GUCACGAUGGCCGAGUGGUUAAGGCGUUGGACUUGAAAUCCAAUGGGAUCUUCCCGCGCAGGUUCUAAGCCUGCUCCUGACG